CCGGGAGGGCGCCGAGGGAUCUCUCCUGUCAGGAGGGCGCUGGGUGGAGUCUGCUGCUCCCCUCCCGGAGCCACCUCCAGCUUCGGCGAAACCUGUCGGGCGGUUUCCCCCACGGUGACAGGGCGGAGGGGCGGGAGGCAACGCGCCGCCUCGGAACAGGUUCGGCCCUUCCUUACCUGCUUACGUUGGGCCGCCCCAGAUGAUCGCUGGAAACCAAAAAAAAAAAAAAAAAAAAAAAAAGAAACCAGCCUGUCAGUGAGAAGGCAAGCCUGGAAAAACUGGUCGUGUGAGGGGCGAGGGCUGCAUUCCUGGCCGCCGCGGCAGGGGACGGCUCAUGCACCGCGAGGUGCCCGCGCGGGUAUAAAAGGGCCCCGCACGCCCAGCCGCGGCACUGGGCCGGGGGAGCGGCCGGCAGCCAGCCCCGAGCUGGGGCUUCCCCCUGAGGAGAGUGGCUUGUUUUUCCUCCUUUUUCAACUUUGUGUUUUUUUGUUUUUUUUUUUUUUAAUUUGAAAGCUCGCUGUCUCCCGGCGCGGUCGCGGGACCUUGGCUCCGUGUCCGCCGUGCCGAGAGGAAGAGCCAAGCCCGGGCCUGGAGAGCGAGGGGGAAAGCGCGUCCCCACCGCCCCCCCCUCCCCGCGGCUCCUCAGCCUCCUUGGUGCAGUGGUUCUUAACAGUUCAACAGUUCUCUAUCAUAAUUGUGAAAUGUUUAGGACCACUUGACCAGCGAGGCUCGGGCAUCGGGCCGGCAGCGGCGGACGAGACCUUGCAGCGCCGGGGACCGGCGGCAGAGGGGGGCCGGGCGAUGCGGGGCCCCCGGGGGCUCGGAGCCCCCACACGGAGCCGGGGGAUGGAGGAGUCCUGUUGCCACAACGUGUGCCGGCCGCCCUCCUGAAGGCAGGCUGCUGCGCUUGAUUUAUAACCAUUUAUUCUCUUCUUUCUUUUUUAAUUACUUUUCUCCAUCGAUCCAGAUGCACACAGAUUAAAACAAGUCAGGUUGGCUUUGCUGACUGCCAGGGCUGCACCUCAGAGGCUUACCAGCGGUAAUGUCUGUAACCUGUGAUGGCACUUUUUUUUUUGGUGAACGCACUCUAACUAAGAGCAGCAUACAACUCACACUGUGGUGGUUUGUGCUGUAUUUUCCAUGUAUGUGCUUACUGCAGGCAGUGAAAGGAUUAUCCAAACCUUCACCAGAAUGAUGUUAGAGGGUUUCUGGUUUUAAGACAGUUGCGUUGAUGGUCUGAUCGAAAGGUCUGUGGACUUAAUGGAGCUUGACAGCCUUAUUUAAACUCUGGGUCUUUUAAAAUACAGUUGAAGAACUCAGUCCUUAAAAAGAAGGGGGAAAAAAUAUCUGGAAGGAGUGAUUCUGUCAACAACUUAUUUUUCUUUUAAAAGGAUAGUUUAGUAAACGAGAAGUUCCUCCUACUUUUUGCUCGUUCUUCUCACUGUGCCCUGAGAACCAAAUGGAACUAGAAAUGUGCUCUUUUUUUUAAUCUUAUAUUUAAAUAAAAUGCUCAAGAGACUAAUUCAUAAAA